GAGUUUGAUCGUGGCUCAGGAUGAACGCUGGCGGCGUGCCUAAUACAUGCAAGUCGAGCGAACAGAUAAGGAGCUUGCUCCUUUGAAGUUAGCGGCGGACGGGUGAGUAACACGUGGAUAACCUACCUAUAAGACUGGGAUAACUUCGGGAAACCGGAGCUAAUACCGGAUAACAUUUAGAACCGCAUGGUUCUAAAGUGAAAGAUGGUUUGCUAUCACUUAUAGAU
rnacentral:rRNA from 1 species